rnacentral:rRNA from 1 species
CAGCCGCCGCGGUAAUACGAAGGGUGCAAGCGUUAAUCGGAAUUACUGGGCGUAAAGCGCGCGUAGGUGGUUUGGUAAGAUGGAUGUGAAAUCCCCGGGCUCAACCUGGGAACUGCAUCCAUAACUGCCUGACUAGAGUACGGUAGAGGGUGGUGGAAUUUCCUGUGUAGCGGUGAAAUGCGUAGAUAUAGGAAGGAACACCAGUGGCGAAGGCGACCACCUGGACUGAUACUGACACUGAGGUGCGAAAGCGUGGGGAGCAAACAGGAUUAGAUACCCCCGUAGUCCCUGUCUCUUAUAU